rnacentral:rRNA from 1 species
CUAUAAAAGGUGAUAGUCCUGUAACCAAAAAUAUAAUACAUCCAGCUGUAUCCCAAGUAGCAUGGGGCACGUGAAACCCCGUGUGAAUCUGCGAGGACCACCUCGUAAGGCUAAAUAUUCCUGAAUGACCGAUAGUGAACUAGUACCGUGAGGGAAAGGUGAAAAGAACCCCGGGAGGGGAGUGAAAUAGAACAUGAAAGCUUAAGUUUACAAGCAGUGGAAGAACGACUAAACGUUCGACCUCGUACCUGUUGAAGAAUGAGCCGGCGACUUAUAGGCAGUGGCAGGUUAAGAUAAAAAAUAUCGGAGCCAGAGUGAAAGCGAGCUUUAACAGAGCGUUAGUCACUGUUUAUAGACCCGAACCCGGAUGAUCUAACCAUGGCCAGUGUGAAGCUUAGGUAACACUAAGUGGAGGCGCGAACCGACUGAUGUUGAAAAAUCAGCGGAUGAGUUGUGGUUAGGGGUGAAAUGCCAAUCGAAUCCGGAGCUAGCUGGUUCUCCCCGAAAUGCGUUUAGGCGCAGCGGUUAACGCUAUAGCUUAGGGGUAAAGCACUGUUUCGGUGCGGGCUGCUAACGCGGUACCAAAUCGAUGCAAACUCUGAAUACUAAGUGUGUAGUUAACCAGUAAGACUGUGGGGGAUAAGCUCCAUUGUCAAGAGGGAAACAGCCCAGACCACCAGCUAAGGCCCCUAAAUGAUUACUAAGUGAUAAAGGAUGUGGGAAUGCUGAGACAAUCAGGAGGUUCGCCUAGAAGCAGCUAUCCUUUAAAGAGUGCGUAAUAGCUCACUGAUCAAGUGCACCUGCGCCGAAAAUGAACGGGGCUAAGUAAUCUGCCGAAGCUGUGGGAUUUAUUAUAAUCGGUAGGGG